rnacentral:rRNA from 1 species
UUCUGGCUCAGGAUGAACGCUGGCGGCGUGCCUAAUACAUGCAAGUCGAACGAGGUAGCAAUACCGAGUGGCGAACGGGUGAGUAACACGUAGGUAACCUGCCCUUAAGCUUGGGAUACCCAGAGGAAACUUUGGCUAAUACCGGAUAACAACAGAGAAGGCAUCUUCUUUGCUUGAAAGGCCCCUUCAAGGGUCACUUAAGGAUGGACCUGCGGCGCAUUAGCUAGUUGGUGAGAUAACAGCCCACCAAGGCGAGGAUGCGUAGCCGAACUGAGAGGUUGAUCGGCCACAUUGGAACUGAGACACGGUCCAAACUCCUACGGGAGGCAGCAGUAAGGAGUUUUCGGCAAUGGGGGGAAACCCUGACCGAGCAACGCCGCGUGAGCGAUGACGGCCCUAUGGGUUGUAAAAAGCUCUGUUGUAAGCCAUGAACGAUAGCUUGAGGAAAUGCAAGCUAUUUGACGACAGCUUACCAGAAAGCCACGGCUAACUACGUGCCAGCAGCAGC